rnacentral:rRNA from 1 species
GACGAACGCUGGCGGCGUGCUUAGCACAUGCAAGUCGAACGGAAAGGCCCUGCUUUUGUGGGGUGCUCGAGUGGCGAACGGGUGAGUAACACGUGAGUAACCUGCCCUUGACUUUGGGAUAACUUCAGGAAACUGGGGCUAAUACCGGAUAGGAGCUCCUGCUGCAUGGUGGGGGUUGGAAAGUUUCGGCGGUUGGGGAUGGACUCGCGGCUUAUCAGCUUGUUGGUGGGGUAGUGGCUUACCAAGGCUUUGACGGGUAGCCGGCCUGAGAGGGUGACCGGCCGCAGUGGGACUGAGAGACGUCCCAGCCGCCAAGGGGAGGCAGCAGGGGGGAAUAGUGCACAAUGGGCGGAAGCCGGAUGCAGCAACGCCGCGUGCGGGAUGACGGCCUGCGGGUUGAAAAACGCUUGCGCCUGUGACGAAGCGUGAGUGACGGUAAUGGAUAAAGAAGCACCGGCUAACUACGUG